rnacentral:pre_miRNA from 1 species
UUGGUUUAGAAGGAGCUCCCCUCAGUCCAAUACAGGGGGCAGAGAAUGGGAUAGAGCUGCCAUCUCAUGCAUUCGGUUAUCCUUAACGUUUUCUUGCAAAAUGGAAGACAAGAUAUUUGUGAAUGUUGAGUUUAGCCCGAUGCAUGGCAUGGGAGCAACUCCUUCCACUUGCUUUGCUCACCCAUUGGACUGAAGGGAGCUCCUGGUUUCAUCAUC